UACGUAGGGGGCAAGCGUUGUCCGGAUUUAUUGGGCGUAAAGAGCGUGUAGGCGGCCAUACAGGUCCGUUGUGAAAACUGGAGGCUUAACCUCCAGACGUCGAUGGAAACCGUAUGGCUAGAGUCCGGAAGAGGAGAGUGGAAUUCCUGGUGUAGCGGUGAAAUGCGCAGAUAUCAGGAAGAACACCCGUGGCGAAGGCGGCUCUCUGGGACGGUACUGACGCCGAGACGCGAAAGCGUGGGGAGCGAACAGG
rnacentral:rRNA from 1 species